rnacentral:tRNA from 3 species
GGUUCCAUGGUCUAGUGGUUAGGACAUUGGACUCUGAAUCCAGUAACCCGAGUUCAAGCCUCGGUGGGACCU